CAAAAAAGGCCUAAGAAACAGCAACACACCAAGUCCUUUUUGUUUUUCUUCUGCAAUUUUUUCAUCGAUUGCUGGCUAUUGUAAUCAUGAGUCUCUACUAGUCAUCAUUACCAUGAGAAGCCUCUCUCUCUCUCUCUUGCAGAUACAAACACAAUCUCCAGCUAUAUAAACUUGCAUCUAUGCUAUCAUAAAAAUCCAGGAAACUCUACCUCUUAUGUUCUUUCUCUCUCAAUCUCUCUUACAUAUAUACCCAAAACAAGUAGAUACCAAGAUGUGCAAUAACAUUUCAAUAUCAACUCCAUUAAUGCGAAAAAACGUUCGAGUUCACUGCCUCAAAAGAAGGAAAAGAUUCACAAGAGAAGCAAGAGAGAAGGGAAUGGCUGGUGAGAGGAAAACGAUGGAAAUAAAGAAUUUAAAGCUGUACGAGGAGAACCAGAUCUUCAUGAGAGAAAAUGAAAGGCUGAGGAAGAAAGCUCUUCUUCUCCACCAAGAGAAUCAAGAGUUGUUAUAUCAGCUUAAAAACAAGUACUCUGUUCCUAAGACACACAUGGCUCACAGCAGCAGCAGCAUCUAACAAGAAGAGGAAAAACAAGGAAUUAAGAGGCUCUACUUUCUUUGAUUAUUGAGUAGAAGCAUAGAGAUUUCUCGUUUCUUAAUGUUUUUUCUACCAAAAAAUUCGAUGAUGGUAGGAAUAGGGGGGGGUGGUGUUGUUCUUUUUGGGAUAAGGAAAAGUACGGUUAUCCUUUUGGUGUUAUGUGUAUGAAAUCGAAUAAUAGAGUGGGAGUUGACAUGAAAAUGUUCAUGUGCAAUUGGAUAAAAAGUUUUAG